UGCAGCUAAACCCCACGUGCAUACAAGGCUGCAGCGCGCGCCUCUAAUGUGCUGCUGUGCCUUUAAAGAGGGCUCUGGUUUCUCUCCUCGUUUCUAUGCAAUUAUGUUAAUAUGCAGAGCUUGUCUGGUGCUCUUCAUUAACGGCUGCAGUUGCAUCAUUGUUUCCUUUAUUUGUUAUCUCUGCAAAGCCAAUGAUUCAGUAACAGGCUAUAUUUUGGUGUUUUCUUCCUUACAAAUAUGUGGUCUUUAAUAGUGAUGGAUGAAGUAGGCCGUAUGUAAAGCCUUUUUUAUAAAUAUUUGCGUUUAUUUGUGGGUUUUCUAUUGCAACAAAUUAUCCUAUCUCAAGGUCGUGAUUUGCAUCCGGUUUGUGUUGGACAUCGGUUUCUAAAUAGGCAGACAAGGUCAUACCUUCAGGUGGAGGAUCUCGCCCGUCCUUUUCUCCGGGGGCACAGAUGGCACCAAAGGCUUCCGGUGAUGGAGAUUUAAGGGAAGAGGGACAAGGAGGUUGGUCUUUUUCUUACCCUCCUGCUUUCUGUUUUUUUGUGACGACUGUGCCACUUUCCCCUUGCUCAAUCCAGACCUGGUGUGAAUGGCUGGCAGUCACUGUGGAGGAAAUAAAGCACAAAACAGACCCCCUUUUAUCACUGCCAUGGCAACUACGACAUAAUCUGUCUUUAGGGAAAUAAAAGGACAGAAUAACUGUAAUUCCUUUGUAUCUGACAGUCACACCACUACAAGGUACUAGACUCUGGGUGAUGCUUUUUAUAGUAAUCUUAAUAGAGUGAAUAAUUAAAACAGUCUGGUUAUUUGACACAAGCAAUGCUGUACAGUAGGCUGUAUGGCAUAUAUUGUACUGGCUUUGUGCUAUCCAUAGUGGCUGCAAUGUUGCUUUAGUGUGUAUGUGAGCCUGCUGUCGUUUCAGACCGUGGGAGGGGUCAGUGUAUUAGAGACAAUAGAGAACGAGCCGCUCUCAACAUCGUUAAUUAAUUAAAGGGGUUGCCAGCUCGUCAGAGAGUGGUUAGAUGUCGGAGAGAAAAAACAUUACCCGCCAGCCACCCUACAUCUUGCCAGCACAAAAUGCUUUGUUGUGGUGCGUUGUCCCGUUUAGCAGAUGGUCUAAUGUAAAGAGUGUACUUGUUCAUCAAAAGUUAUUUAUUUCACAAAAAGAUUCAUGAUUAAAUUGAUGUAAAAGACACUCAUAAUACUCAUUUAUAUUUUAGCGUUCAAAUCUAUGCCUUCAUGAAUAAAAGGAGGAAAUAGUUUCAGGCUGUAAGAUGUACUCAGAAUAGCAAUCUGCUUGCUACUGUGUCGGGUCAAAUGAAUUUAGAGUCCAUAAAGGAGGUUAUUCUAUGAUUAGCCUAUAAAAGCAGAGGAUGAGAGAGGGAGUGGGAGAUGGAGACUAUAGUUCCUCCAUCUUCAGGGAGAAUGCAUUUUUGAAGAUCAGUGAGGAACGUGGGUGGUGGGUGGGUGGCGGGUCGGGUCGGAAAACAAAACCCAGAUGAGAUGAAACAGGCAGACAGCCUCUUUGUAAACAGAAUGGAUUCAGAGGAAAGAAGUGGCUGAAGCAGAUGCUGAAGUUUCAGCGUUUUUCCUCCUUUACUCCUCCUCUGCUCUUUCCUCCUUUCUGUAGUACAAAGCUGAAGGCAGCAGCGUCAGAACCUGACAACUACAGGGAGCCAGCUCAGAUCUGGGUCACACUGCCACCAGCACAAACCAGGAACAUACUGGAGCUUUUACACAUCUCCAUCUCCACCAAGGCUCCCAUGGAGGCAUAGAGAAACCUGAAGCCAAGAGGCUGCAUCCUAGCACCUGUCAUUCACACCCACAUUGGUUCAUGUUCAUGUUCUGUUUUCAACCUCUCUCUCAUAUUCUCUCAUCUCUCAUCAUGCCUCUCUAUAUCUGCCGUUAGCUGUUACUCUACCAUAUAAUAUGCACAUGUACUGUAUACCUUACUUACCAUUUAGUAGACAGUUUGUGUUGUUCAUACUGCAGAGUUUGUGGGUGUAUCUCAGGCAACCACUGCAGUGACAAGGGCACUGGAUCAACUUUUGACAAUAACAAAGACAUUUCCAAAUGCAAUACAAUGCAACAGUGCAACAACAAAAAAGCUAAACAUAUCCAUUAAAACAAUACGCUUGAAUUCUCAUCACUAACAUUCAGCAACAAUUAAUUUGAUCAUUGUCGGGUUAUAGAAUAGUCAUGCCAAGGGUUCUUCUACAACAGGCAAGGACACGUUUAUAUGGAUUAGGCCUAGAGAAGAAUAGAGUGAUGAGAUAGGUGUGGUUGAAUUAGAUAAUGUCUCCAUUCUUCUUUGUUGGGACUUGUAUGGACCAGAGCCUGCAUUACAGUUAUUGAUGAGGAGAUUCAGAUAGGCAGGUUGGAGGAGGUCGACACAAGGCUUUUAUUUUGAGUUUUGUAGAGGUACAAUCAGAAGCAGUUAGUGAAUAAAGGUGAAGGUACAAUAAAUAAUAAUAGAUGGAUAUUUUAAACAUAUAUUGAGAUUGAUCAGAAUACGACGUGUUCAAAUCAAGUGAGUUAAUAGUAGUUGUUCAUUUCCAUCAUCAACAACUAGCCUACUCUCAGUAUUAAAAGACAUGAGGAGGAAUUUAGAUAUCGGCCUACACUUGGAUAAUGUAAAGCUCACAAUAGAGAUCAAGGGGAUGCGGUUUUGGUUAAGGACGAGAUUAUCAGAGUAGGGACUGGUAGGUCCUAUGUCACUGGGUUGACCAGUGGAAAUUCUAAAUUGUCUGGUGACACACUAGAAUGGAGAGAUCCGGCCAGUCGUGGGAAAAGCUCGCUCGGGACGUUUCACAAAUCCAGCGUAUAGCCUCCUUUACUGAAUCAAACCAAUUAGCCAGGAGCGCGCUCCAGCCAUUGAGCGCCACUGUAGGCUCUGAGAGGAGUUGUUGGUUGAAUGAAAAUGCAUCGGCGGAUUUGGUUCUCCAAGAGAAGCUAUAGAAGUUGCCUUUUGAGGGACAGCUAUAGCACCGUGAAGGGCCAGGCAGAAAGUCCAAAUUGAGACACUUGAAUCAUUUGGGCCGAUUAGGUGUGCGCACAAUGCGUAAAGGUAUUGUGAGACUCACAUGGGAGGUAUAAUGCAUUUAAAUCUACAAAACCAUGAACAUCUUAAGUGUUCUUCCUUUCUAGACAACACAACUCAAUGUGAGAACACAACUGGAAGUAUGCGUUAUGUAAUGACAUGGAUCGCUUGACUUAAUAUCGACUGAAAGAUAUGAUUAGCCUACGCUUUUCAGAAUUUCAGUGCAAGGAGUAGGUAAAGCCUACAUAGCUCAUCUUAAUCAGGACAGUCUUUUUCAUAGGAGUUGGACUACAGUAGGCCUAAAUACGUCAUAAAGGCUAAUAUCGGCCAUUUUCUGGAAAAUCAAAACGUUUCCACCUGAGACAAGAAUGAUAUCAAUAUGAGCUACAAAUCUUAAUCCAUCUGAUUAAACCUUAAUUCAAUAUGUGUUUGCGUGUGCGUAAACCUGAUUUAUGCAGUGAGAACUAUAAGGAAUACAGGUCAACUACGGAUACUUUGAUGCGACAAAGCUUUAUUCAUGCCCGAAAAUCAAUUGUUACAGUUCACUCAUAUGACUGGAUAAAGUUAUGUAUUCCUCUGACCGGAAUAAAGGCUUUUUAUUAAGUA